rnacentral:lncRNA from 1 species
GGCGCUGCGAGAUCGCUCCUGAAGCAGGAACCCAAAACAGGAUUUAAGUCACAAUGUGGAGGUCACAGCUCGUGGGUGGGGGGGCGAAAAUGUAGGGAAAAGGGUAUGAAAGACCGAAUGCCCGGCUCUUACUGUUGGUUGGCGUGCUGGAGUCCAGAACCAAGGCUGGUUAAGAUGGAAAGUGUCUGAUGAAAGAGAAUGAUGCGCUGGGAGCUUUGUCUUCCUGACAAAUUUGUUCUGUUCUUCAGGCUUCGAACCUAAUGAACAAUCCCCAGAUUCAGCAGCUCAUGUCCGGCAUGAUUUCGGGUGGCAACAACCCCUUGGGAACUCCCGGCACCAGCCCCUCGCAGAACGACCUGGCCAGCCUCAUCCAGGCGGGCCAGCAGUUUGCCCAGCAGAUGCAGCAGCAGAACCCAGAGUUGAUAGAGCAGCUCAGGAGCCAGAUCCGGAGUCGGACGCCCAGCGCCAGCAACGACGACCAGCAGGAGUGACGCUGCCUGCUCCCGGUGUGACCGCGUCCUUCCCUGGCCGACCCGAAGGAAGCCUUCUGGUUGUCUGCCACUUCCUCCUGUUGGACUGCCUGAGAGAGGGGAAGAGAGAGACCUCGGACCUGCAUGUCAAGAUGGAUUUUCCCCUUUUAUCUCUGCCCUCCUCCACUCCCUUUUUGUAACUCCCUUACAGCCCCCAGACCCUUCUUGAAACGAGAGCCAGCAAGCUGAGCACAGACCAGCAGCGACCUCCCUUCCAGCCCCCAGAAAGCUCGGUCACUUGAGUGUUUUCUAGAAUCCUGGGGUGCUCCCGGGCCGCUCUCAGAGAAGUGGCAGGUUUCACGUUCAGCCGUGUGGCGGAUCGUGUGGCUUCCAAAGCCUUUUACAGCCCCCG